rnacentral:sRNA from 1 species
AUAAAACCCAUUUUCAAGACUGCUCGUUCAGACAAUGGCCAAAAUGCAAAAAAAUGGCUGUUAUAAAUUAUUUAUGACGUUUUCAAAAUGUCAACAGCCAAAUUCGUCGCCCACCUUAAUGACAUUUUGGCCAACUUUUGAAAAGCAGGAAGGGGUCUGGUGGGGCUGCUGUCUUAGAGUUUUGAAUUGGUUGCGCUUUCAGUGCACAUCGAGUUGACAUCACAUUAGGUGUAGCAAUGCCCAUGCAAACAGAAUUACAAUGCAAAUACCCACGAAGCAAUGCGAAGCAAAACGGAAGCAGAUUGCAAAGCGGAAAACAGCUACAAAAGGCAACGGCAAAAGAGAGGGAUAGAUAGAACUAGUCGAUGCCUGAACAAAUACCCUUUCCCUGCCCCUUAUAAGUUCAGAAUUGUUUCACAGUCUGCUUCCCAGUUUUCAAGACAUUUAUUACUCGUGCUCUUAUCAAAAUAAAAAGAGGUUUGAAAGGA